UGCCACAGCCAUAUCAACCUGCAGCCCAAGACUGGUUGCCCACUGAAGCUAAGCAGGGUUGAGCCUGGUUAGUACCUGAAUGGGAGACCUCCUGGGAAAACUAGGUUGCUGCUGGAA
rnacentral:rRNA from 1 species